rnacentral:rRNA from 1 species
UACGUAGGGGGCAAGCGUUGUCCGGAUUUAUUGGGCGUAAAGAGCGUGUAGGCGGUUUGGUAGGUCCGCUGUGAAAACUCGAGGCUCAACCUCGAGACGCCGGUGGAAACCGUCAGGCUAGAGUUCGGAAGAGGAGAGUGGAAUUCCUGGUGUAGCGGUGAAAUGCGCAGAUAUCAGGAAGAACACCCGUGGCGAAGGCGGCUCUCUAGUACGGUACUGACGCUGAGACGCGAAAGCGUGGGGAGCAAACAGG